GUGCUAGCUUUGGCAGCAUAUAUACUAAAACUGGAAUGAUACAGAGAAGAUUAGCAUGGCCCCUUUGCGAGGAUGACACACAAAUCCGAAUUCAAGAUAGCU